CUGGAUAACCACUUAGUUAGUCAUGGGGUUCUUUAACUAUGUGUGACCACUAGCCAUCCAUCCACGAUAUUAGCUUUUUGAAGAGUUUUUUCAAACACAAACUCUUUGAAAAUUUGAAAAAACUAUAAGAGGACAUUUUUCAUAUCAAAGUUUUUCAAGUCGCAUGUAAAUUAACAAAGAUUUUUCACUACACUUUUUCAAUGGAUAAUUCCCGAUAAACGGGCUCUUGAAUAGAAAAUAAAUCGUGCCAAACGUUGCAUUGGAAAGUGAAACCUUCUCCUAAAAAUAACUUUGUCCAAUAUCGUUUCACUUCCGUUACCAUACCAACCCCACGUAGCCAUGACCAAUCGACCAACGGUGCCAAUGCAAACUCCCGAUUGUACAACCAUCCCAGCUUGUUCGCAUAAUUAUUGAGCAUUGUUUGCGAAACAUUUUGAGGGAAUCGAUAUAACGGAUGUAUACUUGGAACAUCAAUGUGGUCUUGUUCUUCCGGAAUCGCACACCUUGGUCCCAUGGUACCUAAAAAAGUAACAACAAACAAAACACCAAAACCACCAAACAAUUAAGCAGUAAGCAAAAAAUUGGAUAACUGUCCGCUCAGUUUUCACGUCGUGAUGUUGGUUCGUGACGAAUUUGCAGUCGUUCAUUCCAAGGUCAAAUCGAAAUCAAAUUGAUUUUUGGGGUUUGUGUAAUAUGCUAUUCUAAGGCUUUUUAACAUACACGCAACCACGAUUCACUUGACAAAUCGACUCAAUUUUGGCGUUAAAGCUUUAAGAACAAACCAUAAGUCAAAAUGCCUAAAUCUAAAAAAGUAAAGAUUAAUAAACUUAUAGAAAAUACCUUUUACGACGUAAUGUAGAAGAGAAGCAAGAAAAAUGAAGAUUUCAGCAGAAAUCGAAGUGUGGGGGGACCAAUCGCAGCUUCACGUUGUAAUGUAUGAACAAAGGAGUUUGAAGAAAG
rnacentral:lncRNA from 1 species